UACGUAGGGUGCGAGCGUUAAUCGGAAUUACUGGGCGUAAAGCGUGCGCAGGCGGUCUGUUAAGACCGAUGUGAAAUCCCCGGGCUUAACCUGGGAACUGCAUUGGUGACUGGCAGGCUUUGAGUGUGGCAGAGGGGAGGUAGAAUUCCACGUGUAGCAGUGGAAAUGCGUAGAGAUGUGGAGGAAUACCGAUGGCGAAGGGCCAGCCUCCUGGGCCAACACUGACGCUCAUGCCACCGAAAGCCGUGGGGAGCAAACAGGAUUGAGAUACCCCGUCGU
rnacentral:rRNA from 1 species